UACGUAGGGGGCAAGCGUUGUCCGGAUUUAUUGGGCGUAAAGAGCGUGUAGGCGGCCAAGCAGGUCCGCUGUGAAAACUCGAGGCUCAACCUCGAGACGUCGGUGGAAACCGUUUGGCUAGAGUCCGGAAGAGGAGAGUGGAAUUCCCGGUGUAGCGGUGAAAUGCGCAGAUAUCGGGAGGAACACCUGUGGUGUAGACGGCUUUCUGGACCAUAGCUGACGCUGAGACACGAAAGCGUGGGUAGCAAACAGG
rnacentral:rRNA from 1 species